rnacentral:rRNA from 1 species
UACGAAGGGUGGAAGCGUUAUCCGGAUUCACGGGGUUUAAAGGGUGCGUAGGCUGGCAGAUAAGUCAGUGGUGAAAUCUCCGAGCUUAACUCGGAAACUGCCGUUGAUACUAUUUGUCUUGAAUACUGUGGAGGUAAGCGGAAUAUGUCAUGUAGCGGUGAAAUGCUUAGAUAUGACAUCGAACACCAAUUGCGAAGGCAGCUUACUACACAGCGAUUGACGCUGAGGCACGAAAGCGUGGGGAUCAAACAGG